CCCUUGGUGCUUGUUUGUUUGCAAUGUUAUGAGCAUUCACCUGAUGAGUGCAAAGUCUUUGGUUGGAGUAGUUGGAGUUGCACAAAAGGAAAAGAAGGGGCGGGAUGUGUAUGUUAUGGUGAGCUUCUUGAUGGGAAUUCUGGAAGUUUACUUAGUACUGAGCAGCAAAUCCAUGCUCCAGCUAAUUUAAUAAAGGGCACACACCAAAUGCUUUCACAAGCAAUAUAGUGCUUUUAACAGAUCACACAGUUUUGCUUUUCUGGGCCAUGCAAAUACUGAAAGGCACUUUGCAUUGUGUCUUCAUCAAGAUUGGGUAUCAAGGUGGGCUUUGCUUAAAAAUUAGGAUCAAGAAGGUUGGUAUGCGGAGAUAAUAAUAAAGGCAUACGGAGAAAGCUUGCCUUGACCACACUGCGUAAAUAGUACUAUCGUAUCCAGUAGUUGGUGACUUAUUUUGGUAACCUCCUUGAUUGUACAAGAUAGACAAUAUUACUUGCUAGAUUGAGGUUACUUUUGGUUAGGAUUGCUGGAUUUGAUCAUAUCUGGAUAUGGAUACGUACUUUUGGAAAUGUUUUGGAUUGGCAAUGUAAGAACAGAUGACAUUGAUAUAUGACAAUGUUAUAUUUUGGAUUUGUUCAGGAUAUGAAUGUUCAUAUUUGCAACAA